rnacentral:rRNA from 1 species
GACGAACGCUGGCGGCGUGCCUAAUACAUGCAAGUAGAACGCUGAAGGAGGAGCUUGCUUCUCUGGAUGAGUUGCGAACGGGUGAGUAACGCGUAGGUAACCUGCCUGGUAGCGGGGGAUAACUAUUGGAAACGAUAGCUAAUACCGCAUAAUAGUAGAUGUUGCAUGACAUUUGCUUAAAAGGUGCAAUUGCAUCACUACCAGAUGGACCUGCGUUGUAUUAGCUAGUUGGUGAGGUAACGGCUCACCAAGGCAACGAUACAUAGCCGACCUGAGAGGGUGAUCGGCCACACUGGGACUGAGACACGGCCCAGACUCCUACGGGAGGCAGCAGUAGGGAAUCUUCGGCAAUGGACGGAAGUCUGACCGAGCAACGCCGCGUGAGUGAAGAAGGUUUUCGGAUCGUAAAGCUCUGUUGUAAGAGAAGAACGAGUGUGAGAGUGGAAAGUUCACACUGUGACGGUAGCUUACCAGAAAGGGACGGCUAACUACGUG